rnacentral:misc_RNA from 1 species
UUUCCGUAGGUGAACCUGCGGAAGGAUCAUUAUUGUAUAACCGAGGUGCGAGAGCUGUCGCUGACUCGAAUGAUCGUGCACGCCCGAGUGCCCUCACAGUCAUCCAUCUCACCCCUAUGUGCACCCCCGCGUGCGUCCCCAUUUGGCUCGUUCGGAGGGGGGCUUACGUUUUCUCACAAUCUUUGUAUGUAGUGCAGAAUGUAUUUUUUGUUUUUGCGGUCACGCAAUCAAUACAACUUUCAACAACGGAUCUCUUGGCUCUC